rnacentral:rRNA from 1 species
UACGUAGGGGGCAAGCGUUGUCCGGAAUUAUUGGGCGUAAAGCGCGUGUAGGCGGCCAACUAAGUCAGACGUGAAAUCCCUCGGCUUAACCGGGGAACUGCGUCUGAUACUGGAUGGCUUGAAUCCGGGAGAGGGAUGCGGAAUUCCAGGUGUAGCGGUGAAAUGCGUAGAUAUCUGGAGGAACACCGGUGGCGAAGGCGGCAUCCUGGACCGGCAUUGACGCUGAGGAGCGAAAGCCAGGGGAGCAAACGGG